GCCUAGGUGGCGGAAUCGGUAUACGCGAAGGUCUCAAAAACCUUUGGGCGCAAGCCCUUGGGAGUUCGAGUCUCCCCCUAGGCA
rnacentral:tRNA from 2 species